GCACAUUGCGGAUAGCAGGAUUCUUGUAGUCCGACAACGCUGCAAUCCGCCAUAUUGAGAAAACCACACCCUUUUUUAACACUGUCUCUUAUGGAAGUAUUUUUUCAAAUUGCUUUUUCUCCUAACUGGAUAACAACUUCGACCAAAGAAAAAUAUUUAAAAAUACUACAUCAUUCAGGGCAUAUGGGCAUUGUUUACAUAUGUAGGACCCAAACACCCCCAAACAUAUUGUCAUGUUUGACGAGGUAUUGGUGGAAAAUGCUGUAAUCCAUCUAUUCGACCUCUCAAGAAGAACUGGUGGUGUUAUUUUUAAAAAGCAAUAUUUUGUGGCAUUCCUUGUUGGAUAUGUAUCGUUUGGAUAGUUUAUUCAUACAUAGAUUUUUUUGUG
rnacentral:lncRNA from 1 species